rnacentral:rRNA from 1 species
UUUAUUGGAGAGUUUGAUCCUGGCUCAGGACGAACGCUGGCGGCAUGCCUAAUACAUGCAAGUCGAGCGGACUUGAAGAGAAGCUUGCUUCUCUGAUAGUUAGCGGCGGACGGGUGAGUAACACGUAGGCAACCUGCCCUCAAGUUUGGGACAACUACCGGAAACGGUAGCUAAUACCGAAUAGUUGUUUUCUUCUCCUGAAGAGAACUGGAAAGACGGAGCAAUCUGUCACUUGGGG